rnacentral:misc_RNA from 1 species
AUUUAUUGUCUUAAUAAUAUUGGCCUUUAUAAUAUUUUUUGCGUGGAUUCGAUAAGUUUAUAAAAAAUAAAAUAAAGGAAGACAAAACAAAUAGAGUCCAAUUUUUACGAAUAGGUCUUUUGAGUAAUGAACAAAUCUCUAUGCAUUUGCUCAUAUAAAAUGGAGUCAACUCCCCAUUGCGUAUUGGUACUUAUCGGGUAUAGAAUAGAUCUGCUUCUCUUUUCUUUGUUCCUACAAACAGAAUUGUUACAUUAUUAUUAUUACUAAAAUAAAAAAAAAA